rnacentral:snoRNA from 1 species
AGCCCAUGAUGAGGGCACCUUCUCAAUAGAUCCUUAUACCUCUUCCAUCCAUCAUAUAGGGUCUCUAAGUCCAUUUGCACAAAGGAAGAGAUAUCAUUCCUCAAAUU